ACUUAUAAGACUUUAAGUUAAAGGUUGUUGACUGCUACUGGUCUGGUUGUUUUCUGUGUUGGCAGAUUUUCCAAUACCUGUAGGUAUUGGUCCUACCUGUGAAGCAUGGCUGUGAGAGGACUGAAUGGUCUGGUCCUUAUCCAUGUUGUGUCUGGUGAUGGUAUCUUAUCUUAAGGGAAUGGUAGUGUUUAUUUAAAAAAAAAAAAAGUUGGAAUUUUAUUUAUAUUAUCUUAAAACAUUGGUAAUUUGACUGUUCAAGUUUACUUAAUCCAAUGUGGAUAUGAAAAAAAUGAUAUAGUAAAAUUGCCCUUCUCUUUAAUAUCCACUAUGUCAGUACCCUUGUGCUAUGAGUUGCAGGCAAAAUGUUUUGACUCAUUCCAGUUUUCUAAUUAUUUCUAGAAUCUUACUUUGAUCGCCAGAAUAAGUGACAACUUAGAAUGAGACAAGAUUUCAGAGGCUUGCAAAAGCCAUUUAAAUAAGUUUGAACAAACCAGUUUCUUAUUCAGUAUACUAACCAUGGAAAAAGAUGUGGAUAUCAUUUCUUGGAUGUGUUUCUGUUGAUUGCUGGCACUGUCCACCUGGAUAUAUUCCUGCCUGGAGCUUUGGCCUUGUUUAAUUGAAAGUUAGAAUAGUCAAAUAUGUAUUCUUGAUAUGAAUCAUUGAUUUUAGCAUCCCGUGUCUGCUUUGUUUUGAAGAACCCGUUGCUUUGUAAUGAUGUUUCUUUAAUGCAUGACUGUAGAUGUACAAUAGAUGUAGUAGAUGAACAAUAGAUAGUAGAUGAACAAGACAGAAGCAUGAUGUUUGGCAGAAAUGAAGAAGCCUUACAGGAAGGAGUUAAAACAGUCAAAUCAAAGCCAUCAGCACCAACAGAAAAGAAAGAAAAAUAGAAUCAGUGAUUGUUCCCAUUCAGUUUGAGCUGUGAUUCUCCUCAGUUCUUUCAAACCUUGGCCCGGAAUUUUGGACUCCAGGAUUCGUUCUGCUUCCUGCAAGUGGGAACAGCUGCAGUGUUCCAAUUACAUCUCAGUCCCAAGCGCCUCAAGGACACUGCUCUUCUGCAAAGGCAGUGUUGCAGGCAUCCUCACUCCUUGGAAAAGCUUAUUUCUUCAGAUGGGAGUUCAGAAGCGUUGGGCCAGAGCAAAAUGAGCAUUUUGUCAUUAGUGUGCUGCUGUUAAGACGGGAACAGCUCAUCCUGUGUGCCCGUGUAUAAUGGAAGUGUCUGCUUCUGGUAACUGCUGUUUGUCCAUGAUGACUCGGGUGAGCACCUUGUCACUGUUGUGUCUUGGAUCCAUCCCUGCAUUUUGCAGGGUCUGGAUCUUGGUAUGCCGGCUAGUGGAAGAAGCAAGGGAGAACUUCAGUAAGAAAAGUCCUUUAAACUGCUUUCAAGAAGAACAUUUCAUUAAAGCAUUUAUUUCUCUUUUCAACACCGGUGCCUGGAAAACCAUUUAUUUUGAUCUGUGAGACUUUAUUUAGAUUAACAGUUACCCUAAAACCAUAAUAGCCAUUAUAAAAUAUGAUCGUUCUCAUCUUAAGAGUUUGGGAGUAAUUGGAUUUGUCUGGGCUGCUGCUGGUGAAGUGCUCACCUCCCAACACCUGGGACCAGCAGUGCUUAAUUGGACCUCAGCUGCGCAGCAUAGCUACGCUUCCCUCUGGCUGCAGCAGCAGGAGGGAGCAGGCGUUCACAGGCUGAUUAGCUGUUGCUGGUCCGGUUGAUGAUUUUCUUUUUCCAGCUAUUUUCUCGAGUUUGUAAUGCUGUGAAAGAACUGCACUGGAAAACAAACGGAAGAAAAUGUGCCGUCAUGCCUUAGCAAGAGGAGAGCCUGAGUUUGGACGCUCCAUGUUUCUUCUUGAUGUUCUGAGAUGCUAAUGUGGACCUCACAUACCAUGGAAGCCUUUCUGGUGGGGGACUGUAAAUCUUUAAAGGGAGAUAAUGAUAGAAUUGCUGAUGCGACCUGAUUAUAUCAGUGUGAAUGGGACUGCCAAAAUACAAUUAAAGAAACAGCUUAUAUUCUCUGUCUUGUAGGCAGGAUACAAUUGUUCAUGUCAUUACCACACUUGUUAUUUUCCUGGUGACAAUUGAUUUAACGUACUGUUUGGAAAACGUAUGUGCUUAUUCUCUCAGUGCUGAUUUAUGAUGUGAUAAGAAAGUGCCAAACUUCUUAGCAAUAAAAGAGGUUCUGUGCAGUGUGGUAUGCAGUCAGCAUCUCAUCCUCCAGUCCCUGAAGACUAAUGGAUAGACUGAAGGAAUUACUGCUGACUGCCGUUCAGUGCAGAGGCAUUUAAUACAGGUGAUGUGUGGCACAAGGCUGCCUGGUUCUGCUAUUGUGCCCAGAGAACUGGGAGGCAGAAUGCUAGCUGCAGUUCUGUGCUAUGGCAUAAAAGGCUCCAACUUUGCACAACCCAUGGCUGCGUGCGCUGGUGUUGCUGGGAGAGGUGGUGGCUGUAUAUGUGGGGGCUCUGUGAGGGCUGUGCCUAGCUCCUCCAGCCCUGCCUCAUGCCUGCUCAGUAGGCUUUGCAAUCUGUGCCGUAAUAACUCUUCUUUACUCACUGCAUUCAUUUUGUCCAAGGUUUGUCUGGUUUUGGAAUAGAAACUGGAAUUAAACUUAUGCAGAAAAAUG
rnacentral:lncRNA from 7 species